GGAAACCCUGACGCAGCAACGCCGCGUGAAGGAAGAAGGCCUUCGGGUUGUAAACUUCUUUGAUUGGGGACGAAGGAAGUGACGGUACCCAAAGAACAAGCCACGGCUAACUACGUGCCAGCAGCCGCGGUAAUACGUAGGUGGCGAGCGUUGUCCGGAAUUACUGGGUGUAAAGGGCGCGUAGGCGGGGAUGCAAGUCAGAUGUGAAAUUCCGGGGCUUAACCCCGGCGCUGCAUCUGAAACUGUAUCUCUUGAGUGCUGGAGAGGAAAGCGGAAUUCCUAGUGUAGCGGUGAAAUGCGUAGAUAUUAGGAGGAACACCAGUGGCGAAGGCGGCUUUCUGGACAGUAACUGACGCUGAGGCGCGAAAGCGUGGGGAGCAAACAGGAUUAGAUACCCUGGUAGUCCACGCCGUAAACGAUGGAUACUAGGUGUAGGAGGUAUCGACCCCUUCUGUGCCGGAGUUAACAC
rnacentral:rRNA from 1 species